rnacentral:rRNA from 1 species
GGUGUGUGAAGAAGCUUAUGGUUGUAAGCACUUAAGCGAGGAGGAUGCUACUUAAGUUCAAUAUCUAGAGAUAGUGGACGUUACUCGCAGAAUAAGCAGCCAGGCUAACUCUGUGCCAGCAGCCGCGGUAAUACAGAGGGUGCAAGCGUUAAUCGGAUUUACUGGGCGUAAAGCGCGCGUAGGCGGCUAAUUAAGUCAAAUGUGAAAUCCCCGAGCUUAACUUGGGAAUUGCAUUCGAUACUGGUUAGCUAGAGUGUGGGAGAGGAUGGUAGAAUUCCAGGUGUAGCGGUGAAAUGCGUAGAGAUCUGGAGGAAUACCGAUGGCGAAGGCAGCCAUCUGGCCUAACACUGACGCUGAGGUGCGAAAGCAUGGGGAGCAAACAGGAUUAGAUACCCUGGUAGUCCAUGCCGUAAACGAUGUCUACUAGCCGUUGGGGCCUUUGAGGCUUUAGUGGCGCAGCUAACGCGAUAAGUAGACCGCCUGGGGAGUACGGUCGCAAGACUAAAACUCAAAUGAAUUGACGGUGGCCCGCACAAGCGGUGGAGCAUGUGGUUUAAU